rnacentral:rRNA from 1 species
GUCUACGGUCAUACCACACUGAAUACACCUAAUCUUGUCUGAUCUUGGAACCUAAGCAAAGUCAGGCCUGGUUAGCACUUGCAUGGGACAAAGGAUGAAAUUGGACC